rnacentral:rRNA from 1 species
GAUGAACGCUGGCGGUAUGCUUAACACAUGCAAGUCGAACGGUCACUUCGUUCUUAUGUGCGGUGCUGGGGUUAACGCCUGGUAAUUUGCCCUUAAGUCGGGUACCAUUGUUAGAAAUGUCUGCUAAUACCGGUUGGGCCAUUGGCGGAAAGGUUUAUUGCCUGCAAAAUAGGUCGCGUCAGAUUAGCUAGUAGGUGGUGUAAGAGACUACCUAUGCUCCGAUCUGUAGCUGGUCUGAGAGGACGAUCAGCCACACUGGAACUGAGACACGGUCCAGACUCCUACGGGAGGCAGCAGUGGGGAAUUUUACGCAAUGGGCGAAAGCCUGACGGAGCAAUGCCGCGUGAGGGACGAAGGCUUUUGGGUAGUAAACCUCUUUUCUCAAGGAAGAUGAUGACGGUACUUGAGGAAUAAGCAUCGGCUAACUCUGUG